UGUCAUGUCUGCCGAAAUAGCUCAGUUGGGAGAGCGUUAGACUGAAGAUCUAAAUGUCCCUGGUUCGAUCCCGGGUUUCGGCAGAGACUUGAAUGUCACUUUUUAGUUUUCAAGGAAAAUACACGUUCGCAUUUUUGAAAAUAUACGAAAGAAAUUAUACAUCAGUCGGAUAGUAGUCUAUGACAUCUAAUGGAUAGUAAAUAAAUUGCAGUAGCCUAACUGUAAAGGACAAUGACCCAACACAUGUCCAGGCUGUGUAAGGUCUAUUUUACCAAGGAGAGUAAUGGAGUGCUGCAUCAGAUGACCUGGCCUCCACAAUCCCCCGACCUCAACCCAAUUGAGAUGGUUUGGGAUGAGUCUGACCGCAGGGUGAAGGAAAAGCAGCCAACAAGUGAAUGAAAAAGAGCCCUGAUGUAGUUCCUGGCUUUGGAGGCCCAGCACAAGGUUGCUCCUCAUGUCACCACAGAGGACAUGAAGCAUUGGCUUACCUCACAAGCCUUCAUUGACAGGUGACCGUAAAUUGCCCCAGAAAUAAGGGAGGAGUCCUCCGCAAUGUUUGGAGAGCAGUAAAGCGACUCACCUGUGGCUGCUGCCGACAUGCUAGAGCUUGACCAAGCCGGGACUAAAAUACAUAGCCUAGACAAGUAGUCAUUGUUAUAUGAUCAUGUGCAAGGCCUACCUUUUCAAAAUCAGUUAUUUCAUUAUUAAAAUCGUUAUUGUAUUGAUAUGAAUAAAUUGCUUAUUCAUUAGA